rnacentral:rRNA from 1 species
CCGGCGACCGGCGCACGGGUGAGUAACACGUAUGCAACCUGGCCGUGACAGAUGGAUAACCGGGAGAAAUCCCGCCUAAUACAACAUAAUGCCGGGAGGGGACAUCCCCUGCCGGCCAAAGGGGGCGACCCCGGUCACGGAUGGGCAUGCGGCGCAUUAGGUAGUUGGUGGGGCAACGGCCACCAAGCCGACGAUGCGUAGGGGUUCUGAGAGGAAGGUCCCCCACACUGGUACUGAGACACGGACCAGACUCCUACGGAAGGCAGCAG